AGUGGUGGGUUGCACCACCGUGGCCCUUCACCCCUGCCCCUCUCCACUCUACAGCGGCUCUGAUGUCAGAGAGCGGCCCCUUGAGACAGGUGGGACAUGUCAUUUCUCACAUGAGGUCCCGGCGAGAAGGACCUGCCUCCAUCAGAUUCACACUCGGGAGAGGGGCCCGGCCUCCAGGAGCGCCAGGCAGAGGAGAGGGCACCCAUUAGGAAGAAGAACACAGAGGCCAUGGGAGUGAAAAGUUUGAUGCUGGAAAGCAAUAGUAGCACAUUCUGCUACAGAGCGGAAUGAAAAACCCUGGAGAGCAAAUUCCUGAGCCAGAGAAUGGAGCGGAGGAACCAGCCAAGGAGGAUAAAGAGAUGGGAACAGGCAAGAAAACCUGGAACUGUGUGCUCUGAGGCUGCCCGACCCUGAGCUCCAGAACAGACCAUCGAGUUCAGGAGACAAGCAUGUCAGCCAUGACACAAGGCAGAUGAGAGGGACCCAGCGUCCACACGUGGAGGCAGCAGGGGCAGCCGUGACUUCCUUCUGCAGUGUUGAUUCAGCUCCCUUUGAAGGCGGAUCCAUACAAACAGGCCGACCAUCAGGGCUGGUCCCAGGCCACCAGGCCGGGUGCAAUGCAGAAAUGGAGAUCUGCCCCGGGGAAGGCAGGGGGAAAACUGGAGGAGAAGAAACUGUAAUUCCAGUCCGUCCACAUGGCCCAGCAGUGAACGACAAUUGCAUGGUCAGAGAGAGCAAAAGCACCAAGCCGACUGAAAGCAGCUCGAAUGCGGUGGGGCAGUGGGAGAUAAUGCCUCAUCUACCAAAACAAGGUCUGCCACCUUCACAGACCACUAAACCUCAUUCCUCCACCCACCUCCCCACCCCCACGAAGGCCAACUGACCAGAGAGCAGGGCUCCCGAGGGUCGGGUCAGGUCGGGUCGGGUCGGGUCGGGUGGGUGCCUCUUACCCUAACUGAGGCUCUGCCCUGGACUCGGAGUCCACUUGCUGUCAAAGCAUGCCACUCUUCUUUCUGAUACUUGACAUAUUUCUUUUCCCGUUCAAUUCAUGGUUUCCGCCCAAACGGAGCCACGCAAGGACGUCUUUGGGGAUGUGUCUCCAAGAAAAGUGUGGGCUGCCUUCCUCACCCUGGAUGCCUGUGGGCUGCCUUCCUCACCCUGGAUGCCUGUGGGCUGCCUUCCUCACCCUGGAUGCCUGUGGGCAGCCUUCCUCACCCUGGAUGCCUGUGGGCAGCCUUCCUCACCCUGGAUGCCUUUGGGCUGCCUUCCUCACCCUGGAUGCCUGUGGGCUGCCUUCCUCACCCUGGAUGCCUGUGGGCUGCCUUCCUCACCCUGGAUGCCUGUGGGCUGCCUUCCUCACCCUGGAUGCCUGUGGGCUGCCUUCCUCACCCUGGAUGCCUGUGGGCAGCCUUCCUCACCCUGGAUGCCUGUGGGCAGCCUUCCUCACCCUGGAUGCCUGUGGGCUGCCUUCCUCACCCUGGAUGCCUGUGGGCUGCCUUCCUCACCCUGGAUGCCUGUGGGCUGCCUUCCUCACCCUGGAUGCCUGUGGGCUGCCUUCCUCACCCUGGAUGCCUGUGGGCAGCCUUCCUCACCCUGGAUGCCUGUGACUUGGUUUCCAUGGGGGCUUCCUAAGCUCAGGGACCCCAAGCCUCCAUCAAAUCUAAUGACCCGCCCUGUCUCUGAACACACCUGUGUUGUCCCCGAGCCCCUCACCAACCCCCUCUGCAACCCCGCCCACGCAUUUCCCAUCCUGAAGGGUCCAGCUCAUAGGCCGGCCCAUGUGUUCCCUUUACCCCUGCUUUGUCCCUACCUGGUGGGGAGCUGUCCCUUCUGGGCCCUAGUGUGGCACUUCACACACAAAUGUGUCCUGUGGGUGGUAUCUGGGGCCUCCCCCUGCAGUGAGGGGAUGACCAAUGUGCAGAGCUCACUGGGCCUGGGUAUGGGCUCGGGUGGCACAGAACAGAAAGUGCUCCAUAAAAGUGAGCUGCGAUGCGGAGGUGGGCAAGCUCUUCCCUGGAGGGGGAAGAGCUCUCAACCCAGAGGGAUCUGACCAGGAAGGUUCACCCCGCCUCCACCCAGGAAGCCCCUGCAGACAGUAUGUGUUUUAGGCUUUGCUGGCCAAAUGGUCUCUGCCGUGACUACUCAGCUCUGCCAUUGUGGCAGCAGAGUGACCAUAGACCUUCUGAAAGUGAAUGAGUAUGACUGUGUUCCAAUAAAACUUUAUUGACAAAAA